AUGACCGCGGGGUACGAGAGUACAAUGAGGAAAGUCCGAGCAUCACAGAGCGGGGUAGCUGAUAACGUCAGCCGAGGGCGACCUUAGGGCUAGUGCAACAGAAAAGAUACCGCAGCGCUUUUGCGCUGUAAGGGUGGAAUGGCGAGGUAAGAGCUCACCGGGGCGCAGGAGACUGUGCCGCCGUGUAAACCCUACCCGAUGCAACGCCUAUUGGUGCGGGGGAAAACGCGUCUGCUCGGCGCGCCCUGUAAAAGGCGGCUUGACCGCAUUGGCGACGAUGCGGCUAGAUAGAUGGUCAUACGCGACAGAACUCGGCUUACCGACGGAGUC
rnacentral:RNase_P_RNA from 1 species